rnacentral:rRNA from 1 species
UACGUAGGGCGCGAGCGUUAUUCGGAAUUACUGGGCGUAAAGCGUGCGCAGGCGGUCUGUUAAGACCGAUGUGAAAUCCCCGGGCUUAACCUGGGAACUGCAUUGGUGACUGGCAGGCUUUGAGUGUGGCAGAGGGAGGUAGAAUUCCACGUGUAGCAGUGAAAUGCGUAGAGAUGUGGAGGAAUACCGAUGGCGAAGGCAGCCUCCUGGGCCAACACUGACGCUCAUGCACGAAAGCGUGGGGAGCAAACAGG